CGCGGUAUUUUGACCGUGCGAAGGUAGCGUAGUCAUUAGUCUUUUAAUUGAGGGCUUGUAUGAAGGGUCGGACGAGAAAUGAGCUGUCUUUAUUAAAAAAAUGGAGCUUAACUUUUAAGGGAGAGGGCUUAAAUAUUCUAAGGGGACGAUAAGACCCUAUAAAGUUUGACAUUUUAUUUAUCAAGAGAUAAAAUAAACAGGUAAUUUUUGUUGGCGGAGUGAUGUUUUGUUGGGGCGACUAGGAUAUAAGGAAUUUAACUGUCUUAUGCUGGUACAAAGGUGUUUGUGAGUGGUGAUCCUUAGUAAAGAUGUUAGAGUAAAUUACUUUAGGGAUAACAGCGUAAUUUUUUUUGAGAGUUCUUAUCAAUAGAAAAGUUUGCGACCUCGAUGUUGAAUUAAAGAAUUCUUUAUGGCGUAGCAGUUAUAAAAGAAGGUCUGUUCGA
rnacentral:rRNA from 1 species